GCCGUUUGCCUUUGACAGUCAUGCAAAAAAUCCUCCAAACGGGACUGGGAUGAUCCGAUUCCUUCAUCAUCCGCCCUCUUCAGACGUGUUGUCACAGCAGGGUAUCAGUUCUGAGAGAUACACUUCAUUCCUGCAGACAGUCUAUCCAGUGCUGCAGGGUCUCCCCCUGCGAGUGGCACCCUAAGGAGACGCCCCCUGACCACCAUGAAGGCACAAAAGGACAUAAGUAAUUAAAGGAGGCGGAUGCUCCAGACAGAUGUUAAAGUGCUUGGUCUGGUCGGGCUUGAUACGGCGCAGCGCAAUCCGUGACUCUCCGAUGAACUCGUUAUGGGUCAGCUUGUCUUCGUCACACACGGACACCCUGGAGUUGAGACAGAGAGUACAAAGCUGAAAGUGGAUGCAUCAGCUGUGGGAAUCAAUCUAGCAUCACCAUUCAACAGCUGCCCUUGUCCAUCAUCUACUCAGUGUGCGUGAACGUGUGCGCGCAUGUGCUGAGGUGAAAGCAUGCCACCCUGUGGAGCUCAAGAGCCGUCUGAAGUGGAGAUGAACUCAGGAGAUAAAAAAAAUGAUUUUAAUGUC